UUCUCCCUGUUCAAUUCUUAGGAAACUUGUUAAGAAUCAGAGGGUAAGAUGUCUCAGUACACCUGGAAAGACUCUCCCUGGAGUAAUGUUGGUGCUGCACUAAAUCAGAUACAGCAGAACCAGUCAUCAUUAGGUGCCCAGCCUGGUGUAGUAGGUACCCCUACCACUGUCUAUGGUCAAUCUAUGGUGAGCAGUAAUGGGUUAACAGGAGCUACAACAUUAUACUCUACUCCACAGCAAACCAUGCAACAAAGACAAAAUAUUGCCAUACAACAGAAAGAAAUGUACCCAAAUUGUGCUGCAUUCAACCCCGGUGAGGUAAAUGGGUACCAGCAGGAAGUAAUUCCUCAAAAAGCUGUGGGUACCGGCAGGAAGUAAUUCAAAAAGCUGUGUGUACCGGACUCAAUAGGCUAUCUUAGCCGUGGUAUUGUAGGUGCACCUUGAGCACUGAGCAAGGUGGAUACUUGCGCUAUACAAAUCAUAUAUUUAUUUAAAGAGGAUGAAUUCAAAGAGAAGACUAGUAAAUUCUUUUAAGCAAAUCAGACAAUUAGAAAUUUAGAAAUUUUUGAAAGGUCUAAUUACUAUUCGUAAGGAGAUCAUAUUUUUUUAGUAUUUCAUACUUUCUUUUUUAAAUGAUAAUACUGUGUGUUUCAUGCCAUAAAUUUUCCCUAAAAUUGUAUUCAACACAUGUCUAUUGCAAAUAAGUUGAAAUCUGAUUCGUUUUUUCCGCACAGAAUAAUUUGUCCUAAAUCUUUUUUUACAAGGACCCUUUGCAAGAGGAAUUUUAUAUUAGGAAAAAGGGUGGUCUUACUGUGCUUUAUUAGAAAUGGGGACAACAAGUCAGUUUGUAAAUAAAUGCCCUUGAUGUGCAUAUAAGAUACGCUUACACUGUUCAUACAAUAUCUAACCCAUCUAUUUGGAUUACACAUAUAUACUGCUUGUCCCUGCACUAAAUUCAUGUGGUUGAAAAUUAUUGUAGUUAAAAUUAGACUGAUAAUUUGCACAAAUUCCUGUUAUUCAACCUCCCCUGCACAAAUGAAGAUUAAUGAAUAAAUCAUACUUUGAAUUUAUGAUUAUUGAUGAGAUAUUUUAAGAUGCAUAUUUAUUAAAUAGAUAUGACAUUGAAAUAGAAUUGUGGUACUUUAAUGGAAUAUCAUAGAAUAUGUAAACCAUAAUGAAUAAUAGAAAUCUAUACAAUUGUACACACAUGAGCAUACCUUCUGUUAUUCAUUAUAAAAAUUCAAUGGAUGAAGUUUGUCUUGCAUUAAAAUAAAUUAUCUGAAUUUAUAGAUAAAAUCAUUAGACCUCUAUCUAUGGUUUAUUCCCCCUUUUUGACUAAUUAUACAUGUAAAAUAUAGUCUAAUGUCAAAUCUCUAUUAUAGAUUAUAGAUAAACAUUUAGUUUUGUUUUGGAAGAGGUCAAAGCCAGACAAACCCAUGGCAUAUUUAUAUUCACAUGUCUUAUAAAUCCUUAGCCAUUCCAAUAUUUGUGGAUAGUUAAGUGGUGUGUAUGGGGUUUUUGGCUUUCCAUAUACAGUGCAUCCAAAAACAAAACAAAAACACUUAUAUAUUACUUUGGGGAGAAAGACUUGUAUGUAUGGAAAGCCAAUAAAGUCAACUUUCAAAUGACACCCAAAAGUUGGAAAACUAUUCAUGCUUGAGCGAGCACUGCCCACUGAAACAAAGGAUGUGGAAAUUAAAUGCAUGAGUGUUAAUAGACUGCAAUUUUUCUGCAGCACUUUGACUUUAUCAUGUGGAUCUCAGUAAUGUGUUCAUGAGAGUCAGGAGAGUCGGGGGGGGGGGGGGGGGUAAGAUAGGACUUAAGUAGGUGAUGUAUGUUAAUGGGAUAAAGGUCAACAGAACAUUUGGCAACCCCUCCCCUCAUUUUUACCACCCGGGGGGGGGGGGGGCACUCAGUAUAUAAUGCAUAGUGGGUAUGUGCCGCGGAGGGGACCCCCAUUUUUACACUCAAAUUUCCGUUCCAAGGCAUAGCAUUUUUGUCUUAUUGAGAAAAAGAACAUAGAAAGCCGCUCCAAAGCAUAGCAUUAUCUUCUCAUUGAGAAAAAAAGAAGAAAUGUAUGUUGAUACAUGUAGUUAAGUGGUGUGUAUGGGUAUGUUUGUUUUUUGCUUUCUGUAUUGUUACACAGAGUGCUACAUGUAUAUUUGUGAUUAUGUGUUGAUUAUAAAAGGAUAUGUUCAAAGUGAUUUGAAUUCAGCUACAUUUAUAUGGUUUAAAUGAGAAUUAAUGUGCAAUAAAAUUUAUUUAUAUGUACCAAAUUAAAGUUUAUUGAUUACUUUUGUUGUUGUUCUGAUGGGUAAAUUAGGAGGGUUUUUUUUAUCAUCUACAAAGCUGUUGAUGACAUUAUGCAUGACAUUGCUAACAAUUUUGAUUUCAAAUUCAUUUUACGAGAAAUCACAUAUUCUGAUGUUACGAUAUGCAGAUAAUUGUCAACACACACAAAUAGUGCAAUGUUUAUUUCUGCAAACAGUAUCAAAGAAUAUUAUUAGAAAUAUAAUCAUAUUCUGUUCAAAAGGCAAAAGUAUUUUUGCCCCUGAUUUGGCAGUCAUGUCACAAAAUCUGGUUACUAAAUUAAUCUAAUGAUUUUAAGUUUAAAGGAGAAUGAAACUCUUGGAGCAAGUUAGCUUUUGUGAAAGCAGAAAAAUCAAAGAAUAAGAUCAACAAAAGUUUGAGUAAAAUAGGACUAGCAAUAAAAGAGUUAUGAGCAUUUGAAUGUCGAGAUCAAUAAUGCUAUGGAGAUCCUCCCAUUGGCAAUGCGACCAAGAUCUGUGAUGUCACACACGUACAACUCUCCCAUUUGAACACUGAAAAUAUACCCCAAAACAUCUCUUUUUGCUCAUUCUAAUCAUAUGACAAAUGAUUCAUCAAUGAUAUAAUGUUGUGAAACCUCUGUACUUGUCAUCUCAUAAAGAGAACACCUCACCUUGUGAUAGACUCUAUAAAAGUGAGAAUAUAAGUGAAAUAAGUACUAAAGUAAUGAGGGAGUUGUACGUGUGUGACAUCACAGAUCUUGGUCGCAUUGCCGAUGGGAGGAUCUACAUGGCACUAGUGAUCUCAAUAUUCAAAUGCUCAUAACUUUCUUAUUAUUCAUUCAAUCUUCCUCAAACUUUCAACAAUAUGUUUCUUUGAUUUUUCUCUUUGAUAUUGAUUCAGCUGGUUUCAAGGGUUUCAUUCUCCUUUAAUGUUUGUGAUGUUUGCAAAGAUUUUUUUUAUAAAUGUUAUAAUUUUGCAAGGUAAACAUUCCAACACUCUACAUUGGAAUUGAAGGAAAAGUCAGUUGAUUUGUAUUUAUCAUGAUAACAUUUUUUACAGAGACUUCCCAUAAAUGAAUAUUGAAAU